rnacentral:rRNA from 1 species
GAUGAACGCUGGCUACAGGCUUAACACAUGCAAGUCGAGGGGAAACGACGGGGAAGCUUGCUUCCCCGGAAGUCGACCGGCGUACGGGUGAGUAACGCGUAUCCCACCUGCCUCUGACUUAGUGAUAACCCGUCGAGAGUCGGCCUAAUACCUCAGGGUGUCUUCUGCGGGCAUCCAACGACGAUUAAAGAUUUCAUCGUUCAGGGAUGGGGUUGCGUCUGAUUAGCUUGUUGGCGGGGUAACGGCCCACCAAGGCUACGAUCAGUAGGGGUUCUGAGAGGAAGAGCCCGCACAAUGGAACUGAGAAACCGUCCAAACACCUACGGGAGGCAGCAGUGCGGAAGAUUGGUAGAUGGAGGAGAGCCUGAACCAGGCAAGUAGCGUGCAGGAAGACGGGCCGAGGGGUUGUAAACUGCUUUUAUGCGGGGAUCAGGUGAGGGAAGUGACGCUCAUUGAAGGUACCGCAUGAAUAAGGACCGGCUAAUUCCGUG